rnacentral:ncRNA from 2 species
UACGUAGGGUGCAAGCGUUGUCCGGAAUUAUUGGGCGUAAAGGGCUCGUAGGCGGUCUGUCGCGUCGGGAGUGAAAACUCAGGGCUUAACCCUGAGCCUGCUUCCGAUACGGGCAGACUAGAGGUAUGCAGGGGAGAAUGGAAUUCCUGGUGUAGCGGUGAAAUGCGCAGAUAUCAGGAGGAACACCGGUGGCGAAGGCGGUUCUCUGGGCAUUACCUGACGCUGAGGAGCGAAAGUGUGGGGAGCGAACAGG